UAAGCUGAAAUUGUCCUAUAAAGCCACUUAACCUCACAUUCAAACGCGACCUUCGACUUGAAUACUGGUCUCGAUUUCCCCAAUUUUUUCUCAUUCGAUCAGGAAUUGCAGUCCCUAGAUUUCUCUCUUUUUUUUUUUUUUUUUCCCAAUUGGAGCCAUCGAUGCGUUUACAUUGAUGACAUAUUACAGUUCCUGAAUCAUUGAAUCGUCUUGUUCGCACCGUCUGGAAUUGCGGAUACGUUUUACUUUUCGAUAUUUCGGAUGGACGGGAACAAAGACGAUGCUUUGAAAUGUUUGAAAAUCGGGAAAGAAGCUUUGGAAGCCGGGAAUCGGACCCGUGCCCUAAAAUUUGUGAAUAAAGCUCGCCGUCUUGAUCCGACGCUCUCCGUUGACGAUCUGUUAUCGGAGAUUCAGAACGUUUCCAGUGACGAUUUGGGUGCUGAUACUGGUGAAUCUGGAAAUAGGUCGUCUGAUACGUCUUCAUCCAAGCCCUCGAAUCAGCCUUCGAUUCGCCGUAGAGUUGCGGCAUCCGGGUCUUCUGAAUCUUCCACAUCGGUAACUUACACAGAGGAGCAGAUAGAGGUUGUGAGGACUAUCAAGAAGAAGAAGGAUUACUACGAGGUUUUGGGAUUGGAGAAGAGUUGCAGUACUGAGGAUGUUCGAAAGGCAUACAGAAAGCUGUCUCUAAAGGUUCACCCAGAUAAAAACAAUGCUCCUGGAUCUGAAGAAGCGUUUAAGGCUGUAUCAAAGGCGUUUCAAUGUCUAAGUAACGAGGAGAGUCGUAAAAAGUAUGAUGUUGUUGGGUCUGAUGAGCCAGUUUACGAGAGACGAACUACAAGACAUGGUGCUAAUGGAUUUAAUGGGUUUUAUGAUCCUGAUAUUGACGCAGAGGAGAUAUUUAGAAACUUCUUCUUCGGUGGAAUGGCGCCUACAACUACACAUUUUCGUACUUUCAAUUUUGGCCCUGGAAUGGGACAUGGAACAGCUAAUCAGGGCUCAGGUGGUGGCCUUCGGACUCUGAUUCAAUUGCUCCCUGUGCUGCUAAUAUUGCUUUUGAACUUCUUGCCAUCCUCAGAACCUAUCUAUUCUCUUUCCCUCUCCUAUCCCUAUGAAUUCCAGUUUACCACUCAGAAGGGUGUCAAUUAUUAUGUGAAAUCAACUACUUUUGAAGAAAAGUUUCCACCUGAUAGUCUGGACCGAAUGCAACUCGAGCGGCACGUUGAGAGGGAUUAUGUUAGCAUUCUUGCUCAGAAUUGUCGUGCUGAGAUGCAGCGUCGGCAGUGGGGAUAUAUAAGGGAAACUCCAUAUUGUGAUACGUUACAGAAGUUCCAGACAGCUGCUUCAUGAAUGAACGAAAAGGUUCAUUUCAUCCCCCUGUUUAUCUUUUUAUCAGUCAUAGAUGUAUAAUCAAGAUUGCUCGAGAAUGUCUACCAAGUUUUUAUUAUCAAAUCGAUUAAGCUUUCCUUCCGUGGUACCUCUCCAUUUGUUUGGAAUUUGAAAGCCAUUGAGCUUUUUUACUCCAAUGAGAUGUGCAAUAUGCAUUGUGAGACUAUUCAUUUCUUAUGCUAAUCCUUGACCUUAUAACCGAUAUUAUAUGUGGCUGGAUAAUAUCUUUUCAAUGAUUCAAUUGGAGACUACAUGGAAACAAAAGCUUUCUAUAUACCAUGGUGGCCAUCUGAUAGGUUCUAUUGUUAAGUUAGAGCUGCAAGGCAAGGUUGGUUCAUCUGCCAUUAACUCAACUUAUUUGUAUUUCAAAUGUUUUGCUUCUGCUUCUGAAGAUGACCAUAAAACGACAGUGUCUGGUAGGUUGCACAGAUUAGAUGGUUGUGUUGAUAUUAUAUCUGGGACUGGGAACUUAGGUAGUAUAAAUUAAGACUAAUGUGUUGUGUUGAUAUAAUAUACUUUUCUGUCUCAAACUGUUGAAGCUAUGACAUAUGGACCUAUGUUGAUACAUUUUUUCAUAAUA